AAAGAGAAGACUAUUAGUCAAUCCAAACCACGUGACCUCUGGUUGGCACACAAACUAACAAAGAGGUUAUGUUUGUAUCUAUUUUUCAAUGAUUUUUCAUUGUUUAUCGUCGUAUUUUGUCUAUUUUGGAUUCAUUUGGAUUUCGUUUCCUGUUUUUGUUAACUUUAUAAACUUUACCACAAUGCAAAGUGAUUAUUUAAGGAAAUCAUUAUUGGAAACUCCAGAUGUUGCGAGAAAGAUAUUUAUUGAAGCUGAAAAUAAUUGGGGAUUUAGAUCCAUAGGCAAUUCAGUCAGAAUUGGAUUUUACAGUAAAGUGCAGUCCAUCAAGUUACUAUUAUAGAUAUUUAUACAUAUUUGGUGGAGUCUCACAGUUGCUACUCUAAGCAGCAGAUGAAAGAAAGCAUACAAAAGCCUUCAGGCACAUAAAUAUUUUACAGCUAAAUUUGUUUUGAACGUUGGAGUAAAAAUUGUUAAUGAUUUCCUGAUUUCCAUAUUAUUGUUGGAAAGGUGAAGCAUUUCCAAAAAGCUAAUGCUAAACGACUAAAUACUUGGGUGGGGUGAUAGCCAGUUCUGAUGACAUAGCAAAUGCACAUUGUAUGCAUAUGGCCGGUAAUAGUGAAGCCUGCAGCCAUAUUGCAGCAAUCCUAUUUUUAGCUGAGUAUGCCCAGGGCACGACAGAUGAAGAAGAACCAAAUGCAUGUACAUAUGUUACAGCUACAUGGUUUGGAGAUAGCAACAUAUGCAUUCUCUGAUGAAAAACUAAUGAGUUUUGAAACUGUUCUGUCAGAGUGCUUGUUGCGCUCACUAAACGAACUGAAAUAUAAGACGGUUUUGGCAUUGUGUUGCAGCGAUAUAGAAAAUGGCUAUUCAUUUUUAAUUAUAAUGUACUUCUUCAUCAUGAGUAAUUAUGUAUUGGUCUUUUAAAUGUGUAUUUAUUUUUGUAAUUAGUAUCAACUUGUAAUGAUAAUAUACAUUUAUCGUUUAAGGUAUGACUAUGUUUUGACUCUAAAAUAAAUGUUUUAAAAAUCGAA